rnacentral:tRNA from 1 species
GGAGACGUAUCGAAGUGGUCAUAACGGGGCUGACUCGAAAUCAGUUAGGGAGUUAAUCCCCCGCGAGUUCGAAUCUCGCCGUCUCCGCCA